UUCCUGGUGGCUCAGAGGGUAGAGCGUCUGCCUGCAAUGCGGGAGACCCAGGUUCGAUCCCUGGGUUGGGAA
rnacentral:tRNA from 1 species